CAAUAGCGUACGUUAAUGUUGUUGCAGUUAAAAGCUCGUAGUCGAAUUUCUGGCCGGGAAAGUCCAGUCUCACUGGUUCGAAUCCUAGGCCAUCCGCUUGAAAUAUUAGUGGUGCUUAACCUCUCCCUCUUAGGAUCAGGCAUUUUACUUUGAAGAAAUUAGAGUGUUUCAGGCAGGCUUUCGCUUGAAUACACCAGCAUGGAAUAAUGGAAUAGGACCUCUAUCCUUUACUGGUUAAAGAUAUAGGUAAUGAUUAACAGGGACAGUUGGGGGCAUUCGUACUGAGGAGUCAGAGGUGAAAUUCUUCGAUUUCUUCAAGACGAACUAAUGCGAAGGCAUCUGCCAAGGAUGUUUUCAUUGAUCAAGAACGAAAGUCAGGGGAUCAAAGACGAUCAGAU
rnacentral:rRNA from 1 species